rnacentral:rRNA from 1 species
AAUAGAUACCCGGGUAGUCCACGCCGUAAACGAUGAAUACUAGGUGUAGGGGUUGUCAUGACCUCUGUGCCGCCGCUAACGCAUUAAGUAUUCCGCCUGGGGAGUACGGUCGCAAGAUUAAAACUCAAAGGAAUUGACGGGGGCCCGCACAAGCAGCGGAGCAUGUGGUUUAAUUCGAAGCAACGCGAAGAACCUUACCUAGACUUGACAUCUCCUGAAUUACCCUUAAUCGGGGAAGCCCUUCGGGGCAGGAAGACAGGUGGUGCAUGGUUGUCGUCAGCUCGUGUCGUGAGAUGUUGGGUUAAGUCCCGCAACGAGCGCAACCCUUAUUGUUAGUUGCUACCAUUUAGUUGAGCACUCUAGCGAGACUGCCCGGGUUAACCGGGAGGAAGGUGGGGAUGACGUCAAAUCAUCAUGCCCCUUAUGUCUAGGGCUACACACGUGCUACAAUGGCUGGUACAGAGAGAUGCUAAACCGUGAGGUGGAGCCAAACUUUAAAACCAGUCUCAGUUCGGAUUGUAGGCUGAAACUCGCCUACA